CAACUUGGACAGGGCAUGCGCGCAGAACACUGUCAUCUGACGCACCCAGCGGUUUUGGAAUUGAGCAUGCGCAUUAGAAAGCAGAGACAGUGGAAACUGGCGCCAUUUCGGAUCGGCGCAGCGUCAGCAUUGCCUAGAACACAGCGCGCAAAGAGCCAACAUGGAGAACCCUGCCAUCCAGCUUCAUAACCGCGUCGAGCCGCCCUCGCUUCCACAGGGAGGCCAGCCAAGAAUACGCGCCGAUUCAUCCAGGCUCGCCUUCUGCUGGGACUUGUGCACCUGGAGAGAGGCGGCUGCAGGCGCUGCUGAUUGUACAACACGCUGGCUCCUGCAGCGCGUCAGUCUCUGCAGACAAGUGUCGCUUUUCAAUGAGAUUAUUUACUGAGAAACAAACGCGUUUCAAUUCCAGCAGAGCUGCGCGGGGUCCUGAAAGACGGGCGCUGCUGCUUGCAAAGUCUGUUUGUGAUGCAUAUAUUUGAAUGGGAAGGCUGCGAUAAAAACAAAUAUAUCUACUAAAUACAAACCGAAGCGGUGUUUGUGGGUGAAAAGAGGAUUCCGUUAGACCAGUCUCCCAGUAAAACCAGUGCAGAUGGAGGUCAGGGUCUCCGUGCCGUUCUUUCAAGAGGCUGAGACCCCGUCCUGCGGGAAAUUCACUGAGUUCUGAGUAGAAAUGACUGGAUUGAAGAGAGAGAAUGAAAGUCUAAAGCUGAGAUUGGAAAUAUCAGAGAGCGAGCUGAGAGCCGUGCGAGGGUAUUUAAACAGACAUUAAACAGGCUUUCAUAUUUCAGGAUCCCAGAGAGAGCCACGCUAUCCCUGAAUCUGAAGCACAGGAGGAGCCAAAGAUAGAAGCGGUUUCCACACAAGAGGAGUCCUUUGAGCAGGAGUGCUGUGCAAGUCUAGUGCAGGUUUCAGAGCUGCCGUUUGUUAAAGAUGAAGAGAUCCCUCAACAGGAAUGUGUUCCUAUCAAAGAGGAGUUCAUAGAGCAGGAAUGUGUCUCCAUCGCAGAGGAACUUCCUGCUGAAUAUAAUGCCUGUACACUUGAGGAGAACAGCAAGCUAUGAUCCAGCCUGUGCGAUGAUUCUCCAGAGGCAGAGGAUUCAGACGACAGUGAUGCUGAACUGGGCAGUGAUGGACUCAAAGGAGAGCGGGAGUUGGGAGACAAUAUGAUGGAGAAAAGAGCUGACAUGGAUUCUGAAGUGGUCCUGACACAGUCCAUGGUAGUGAAGAAGGAUGCCCUGUCCAAAUGAUACUACAGAACUUACUGUUAUUAUAGCAUCUGUGCUCGUGUAAGGUACAGAUGCUACUAUGGUAAGUAAAUGGAUUCUAGUUUAUUUCUUUUUUAUUAAUGAGUCUUUUAGCAGUCGCUUUUCUCCAAAGUGACUUUGAGACUAGGGGGUGUGCUGU